rnacentral:rRNA from 1 species
UUUUAUGAGAGUUUGAUCCUGGCUCAGGACGAACGCUGGCGGCGUGCCUAAUACAUGCAAGUCGAACGCCUCUUUUUCCACCGGAGCUUGCUCCACCGGAAAAAGAGGAGUGGCGAACGGGUGAGUAACACGUGGGUAACCUGCCCAUCAGAAGGGGAUAACACUUGGAAACAGGUGCUAAUACCGUAUAACAAUCGAAACCGCAUGGUUUUGAUUUGAAAGG